rnacentral:lncRNA from 1 species
UCUAAAUUUGCUCUCUUUUUUGUAUUUUUUUUUAAAUGAUGAUUUUCGAAUUCCAUCAUUAAAAAUGUGAGUCGCACAAUUUACAAGAGCAUAAAUUGGAUUUGCAAAUCAAAACCUAAAACGGAAAACAUGUUUCUUAACAAGAAUAAAGACUGAUAAAAUACAAGAGACUCUUUUACAGAUGAAAGUAAAAAACAACUCUUGUCCUAGCUCUAGAAUUCACGUCCUUGAAUGGUCACCAUGAGAAUGUCAAAGAGCAUCGCACAUAACCUGCAAAAAGAUGACAAUGUCAAUAUGUGAAUAAGAGAAAAUGAUAUUUUAAUGACGUCGCUUCUUAUAAUAAAAUCGAGGCGACGAUACAUGCCCCACAAUCCUUAUUACGGGAUUUUAGUAUUUCGCCAAGAUUUUAUCAUAAGAGAAAACAUCAUUAAAAUUAUCAAUCCACGGCCAUCAAUCGAAUGUCCACUUUUAUUCCAAAAGUUUCGUAUGCAAAAGUGUUAUUGAUUUUUGAAAAAUUGAUUUGUGAUUUACUCAUAGAAA